UCCCAUGGACGUGGUACUCACUCCUCACC
rnacentral:piRNA from 1 species